AUGCUGCGUGGCUCCUUCUGGCGGCUCCUGGCCGUGGCCGUGGCCGUGUCGGCGGCGGCGCGGGCGGUGGCCGCCCUGAAGGCCGGUCGGAGCCUGCACCGGGACUUCGACGACGGCCAGGUGGUGGAGCUGGCGCUGGACCGGGAGACGGGGUCCAGGCUGGAGUCCAAGGACCGCUACCUCUUUGGGCGGUUCGAUCUUGACAUUAGGCUCGUCGCCGGCGACUCCACCGGGACCAUCACUUCCUUCUACGCAAGUGUACAUGGAUCUCUCUGGUCGACUGCAGUUUCGUUCUCGUUUCCGCCUGCCUAA
rnacentral:rRNA from 1 species